CGCAAUGCUAUAUUCGCCCACAACUUCACUUCGGUCAACUUCGUCAUUUAGUGGUGAUCGGAACUUCGAUGUGUGUGGAAGUGAAUUUUAACUUUUCUAACACAGUCUCACAAAAAUAACAGUAACCAGUUACUAAAGUAUAAAUUCUUAUCCGAAACGUGUUAGAUAAACAUUUAACGUGUCAUAAGUUGUAUUAAUAUUAUUCAAAAUGUGUGAUAAUAACAAUCCUUCAACACAAAGUAUAGCGGACUACUUAGCUCAGUUGCUCAAAGACAGGAAGCAACUGGCUGCGUUCCCGAAUGUUUUCAUGCACAUGGAACGACUUCUGGACGAAGAAAUAGCAAAAGUACGAGCCAGUUUAUUCCAAAUAAAUGGAGUCAAGAAAGAACCUCUCGUCUUACCAGAACCAGACGGUAUUGUCACAACACUCACAGAAAAAGUAUACGUGCCAGUAAAAGAACAUCCAGACUUCAACUUCGUAGGCAGGAUUUUAGGGCCCAGAGGCAUGACUGCAAAACAGUUAGAACAAGAAACAGGAUGCAAAAUUAUGGUCAGAGGAAAAGGAUCAAUGAGAGAUAAGAAAAAGGAAGAUGCAAACAGAGGUAAACCAAAUUGGGAACAUUUGGCUGACGACUUACACGUUCUUCUCACAGUCGAAGAUACUGAGAACCGAGCUAAGAUAAAGCUCGCCAGAGCCGUGGAAGAAGUCAAACGUCUUCUUGUACCCCAAGCGGAUGGCGAGGAUGAAUUAAAGAAGCGUCAAUUAAUGGAACUGGCCAUCAUAAAUGGCACAUAUCGCGAUUCAAGUGCAAAAGCUGCGAUGCCAGUCAACGGUCAGUGCCUCAUAAGGGACUUCACAGCUGACGAGGAGUGGAGGAGGGCCGCGGCCGCUGCAGUAGAGACCCAGCGGCUUCUCGCUCCUGGCGGGGGUGUAGCUGGUGUUGGUGGCGUACCGAUACGUACUUCUGCCCCACUGGGAGCACCGCUGAUACUGUCGCCGCGUAUAUCAGCUGCGCCAGGCACACAGGCUGGCUUGCUGAAUGGUACAGCAGCGGGCGCAGCAGCCGGGCUUCUGUCGCCAGGCGAACCAGCGCAUCAGCUAAUAUACGCAUCACCGUAUGCCGAUUAUGCAAACUACGCGGCCCUGACAGCAGCCGCCAGCCCUCUACUGACGGCUGAGUACGCCGCUGCAGACCAUACGGCGUCGAGAUAUCUACUCGCUGGCUUUUGACAAUGGCCGCAAUACCAUCAGCCUUCAGUAAGAUACGACCGGCAACAACACGCAUCGUAUCGUUCUACGCAUCACUAUUACCGUCCUUGACUUAAUACGCUUCUCAAAUUCUACAGGACGUUUAUAUACAGUCAUAAUAAACGCCAUCAAAUAAUAUUAGAUUAAGAUUUAUUGUUUUAAGUACGAAUAGUUUAGUGGAACGAUCAUUUUGUACCUACGAUAUUUUUAUCAUAAUUUUUACGACCAUUGUUUUUUUUUUCAAUGACUGUUUGUACAGUUUCGUAAAAAGUAUAUUUUGUUUUUAAAUAAUAAUCAGAGGUAUUUAUUAUAAUUUGCAGAUUUAUUUAUAUUUAUUUUUAAAUUUUAUUAUGAUUUACACUUAAUUUAUUUAUUUAGAAUUCUAUAUCACCGUUGCCUCGUAUUAGGGUUGAUGGCAGUUAUUGCAUAAUUGUUUUAAAAUAGAAAAUAAUUUAGCGUAAUCUAAAUGAAACUGCCAAUAUAACUCUUAAGUUACCGAGUUUCUUAUACAAAGACAGAGUUUUAUAUAUUAUAUAUUUAUUCGUCUACAUCAUUACAUACUUUUUCAAUGGUGAUAGCUAUAUAGAGUCCAUUGUCUAUUUUAGUUCUUGUGAUAGCCCUUGCUUGUAACACAACUAAUCCAUUAACUUCUUGGUGACUAUAUAUCACAAAGUUAUAUAAACCAUUUAGCGUUUUCAUAAAUGCAAAAUUUUCACCAUAUUGCAUGUGGUUUUUAUAUUAUUUCUAUUUCCAACGAUUAAAAUUUUAAUGUGAAUAACAGUUCGUACUCUCGUAUUAACAACAGAAUCUCUGAAUGUUGAAGUGGUUUGCAUACAUAAUUCAGCGAUUACAAGCAAAAGGGACCAAAUACGAUUUUGAACAUUAUAAAGAAACAACACACAUUCAUAUUUUAACUUUUUAACAACACUUACAAAAUUAAUGAGCAAUAUACACACAACAUAACGAUCAAAUAUAAUGGAACAUUCUAGGCGGUUAUAAUAUUUAUGUAUUGUAACAGUAACAUUUGUCGUCGUAAACUCAUUACUGUGUUAUUGUUACAAUUAUUAAAUAAUUUAUUAAUUUAUUAGCCAUAUUAUUAUAUUUAUAAACAUACCAUAGGUUAAGUAUUAUUAUUAUCUUAAAAAGAUUUUUAGCUAGGUUAGGAAAGAGUGAGCUUUAUGAAAAUAUAUUAUACAUCCGUAUAUUAUUGUGUAGGUUUAUUAAACCACAGUUGACACUGUAGAGUCAUUUUAUUUAAAAUGAAAUUAAAGCCAGACAUUACCUGUACCUUGCCGGGUUUACCCGAGGUUAAAUAUUUUAUUUUGUUAUUAUUUCCAAAGCAAUAAAAUAGGUAAUCUUUAGGCUUAAGAGUUAUUAUAGAGGUUAGUGUUGCUGCCAAAAUGAAAGCGUUCUUUAAAAUUUUUAUAUAGUAUUACAUUGGUUGAACUACAAUAGUAUUUUUGGCAGGAACAGACAAAUAGGUAUUUGCGUUUGUUAAGUGUAUACACAUUUUAUAAGAACUUGUUAAUAUUGAGAUUAAAUUUUUUUCCAGCAUUUAUGCGGAAUGUGGUCACCCAAAGCCAUUUUUGGCUCGUAUUUUUCUCGCUAGAGAUAGUUUCAGCUUUAAUAUUAAAUGGAAUUUGCCAGUAUAGAUUCUUGUCUCGUAAUUUUUUUUUUGUCACUCGGGUGCGAAUCAGUGUUGAUUGAAGGUUUAAAAUGUUCUGUUAAGGCACAGAUGUUAAAUAUAUAUAUGCCGCUAGGUGUCGUGAGGAGGGCGGGACGGCUCACGCAAGUGCGGGAGCACCCUUACCAGCGCACUGCCUUGCCGGCCCCUUAAUUCCCGCCAUAUUGCUCUCACGCCGCCAUUUUGUUUACAAGGUGAGUGCUAACGGCGCCGAGGAGUCCCUCGAACUAACAGGAGUCGCGGCCGGCCGCCCCACGUCCCGGCCUCAUGUCGCCGCGUAACCUAAUCAUCGGAACAUCGACCACCAUGUAGCUAUAGCUGUUGGGCCUUUCACGUUAACAUUUACUAUGUAUUAUAAUAGUCUAACUAUUAACAUUUAUAUGCCUGUUAUGUUUAUAACAUGAUGAACUUUAUUAACAAUCUAUAUUACAUGGCACACGCCAUCGACUAUAUUUACUAUUGUAAUUGUAUUUUUGUUGUCGCUUCACCGUGUUGUUGUUAGCACGAAUGUUAUUAGGCUCCCCGAUUACUAGCGGCGUUAAAUAUGUGCCCAAUUAUUAUAAUGAAUUUAAGCAUAUUUUUCUUUAUAAAUCAUGAUAUAUUGUUUGCUUUAUUUUUAUUUUUUCAUAUUUAACGCCGCAAAACGAGUAUCUGUUUGUUUUUUUUUUGUGUCAAAUUCUCACUGAUUGAACUAAUUAUGGCUUCAUUCAAGAUGAUCAGAUGCAUUUCAUCGAAGCCAGAAUAUACAAUAGUAGGUACAUUGAAGAACUUAUUUUCUUUUAUAAAAUCAGUGACUAGGCCUCAUAGUUUAUUCAUUAGCUUUGGUCAUUGAAUAAAUAUGGAAAAAUACACAAAUAAAAGUGAGAUAAUUCUCACAAAGUGUUCCGUACAAAGUACAAAAUUACGAACUUCGCUGUUGGAAGAAAUUUUUAAAGGAUGAAAACAGGAUGGCGGUAAUGUAAGCCAGUGUUCAAGUAAGUACCUACGACCAUGUUCAAAAACUUAAAGGAUGCUGUUCCAUAAUAAACUUCUCAUAUUGGACUGAUAUUCGUCAUAUAGAUACCUAUUUGUAGGUUGUUUUUCAUACACUUAUUGACCUGCCACUAAUAAUAUUUGGCAGAAAUUUAUAUAACAUUAAAACCAAAGACUAAUAUAAUAUAAUUUUUGAGAGCUAAUAAAUUCAAAUAAAAUUUGUUAAAGUCUUCCUCGAACGGUUCAAUCUAGUAUCGGUCAAUGGGUGUAUGAAUAAUAAUAACGUCUUUUAGAGAUAUAUUUAUAGCAAUUAUUAUAUUUCACAUAUUUAGUAUGUAGUAUUUAUAGAUAAAUGAAAUAUUUGUGCAUCACAAGUGCCUUAUUAAUGUACAAUAUUCAUAUUUGGUACUAUAGAAUCUGUUAAAAUGCUUAUUAAUAAUUAAGAUAAAAGAGAUUAAAUUAUUGUUAACUUUGCUAAAUAAUUUACUUAUCUAUUAUGGUCGAUAAAUAUUAGGGCUUAGUUUAAGUGAUGUUGUUAAAAUUAUUUUUCGCAUAUACAAGCACAGAGAAUUCGAAAUGUGCACAAGAAUUUGGCCUUGGUCUCAGAUACAAUCUCUUUGGGAAUCUCUGACUUGUUACAUACAAUCUCAUAAAGAUUUUUCCGAAAUUUCUCAUUUAAAUCUCAAAUAAUUAUUACUGUGCAUAUAAAACAGUAUAUAACUAGCGCUAAUUUAAACCUUAAGUGUUAUGUAUAUAGCUUAUACAUUUAGUUGUUCAAAAGCAAUACUACUAUAUUUGAAUGUCUACAUAAAAUUCUAGUGCAAUAGAAAUGUUAUAACUGAUUAAUAUUUUAUUAUAAAUAAUUUCAAUUUAAAAUAUACUGAGAAAAAUAUAUUUAAUACUGGCUACCCUAAAGGGCAAGGUGUGAGUUUAUAUUGUCAUAUAAAAUAUCUUUCAAAAGAAUAGAGAUCUGAUAUUGAGAUUAUUAUAAUCUAGAUGAGAAAUUAAUCACGAUCGUUAAUCAAUUGUGGAAAUAUAUUGUUUAUUGCAUAUUCUUAUUAAAAUAAAUAAAAUAUAUUAUUAGGAAUUAGUUUAAAUAUAUAUGUAUAAUUUACUGCUAAAUUUAUUUUAUGCAUUUAGGUGCUUUUUGAUAAAUAGAAAUCGGAAAUUUUUAAAAGAAAUUUAUUUUAAUGAUAAACCAGUAAUAUCGUUUGGUUAAUUUCAGUCUUCGGUAGCAUUAAACACCGUUACAUCAUGUAUCAUAAGUUAUCAUGUUCAUUAUUAGUUACAAAACAAUAUCAUCUCUAUAGUACACCUUUAAAAUGUUGUUAACACUCCGUCCACGAUUAUAAUUAUCAUUAAUAAGUACUUAAAUUGUUGGUCUCUUACUACAGCAUAGUUGAUCGUGUUGGAUUGGAUUUUGGCAGAAAUAGUAUAUCAUAGUCUUGUUGAUGAUCGAACUAUUUGAAUGAGAGUAUAUCUAAAUAGCAAAAAAUCAGCACAUGUGAUUUUUUUGACCCUGAACAUUUAUAGGUAAAUGUGAGCAUACAUUUAUACAACACUUUGGUAAUCUUCUUGCUAAAAUUUUGUUAAUUAUACGUAAUUUAUACCAUUUAUCAAGUAUUUAAUAUCAUCUUCAACAAUUUGUUUUUUAUAAUCAGUUAAUAUUGUAAUUGAAAGUGUACCUAAAAUCUAAAGAUGUGAAAGGAAAACAAGUAAAAUGCUAAUAGAGGUUCUACUCUCAUGAAUUCUCAUAUCUCAUUUAAUUAAAUUUAUAAAUUAAAAAUAAUAAAUAUAUAAUCCUAUUACUUCUGUAGAAAAAAUUAAAAUGUAGUUUUUACGAUUAUCAUCACAUAUUUAAUGAACUGGGAAGCAUCAUCCCAUAAUUCAGGAUUCUGUACAUAAAUCGUUCUUCUUCUGUCUUUAUUUUUUUUAGACUAAAAUUUAAAUCAAAUGGGUAAUUUACAUUGAUAGAGUUAAUAUAUUUUUUUCUGGAUGCAUUUUACAAAUAUAUCUACUUUAAAUUUACAUAUCUAUCAAUUAAAUAAAUUUAUCGAUAUUAGUCGUAGAUGAAACAUGUUUAAAUGAAGAUCUUUCAUUGUGCCCCAGAGAAUCCUAAUUUGUCACAAUCUUAUCUCAUACGAACCUCUAUUCCAACAUCACGGCUUAUGUACUAGAAAUUAUUUUUACUUUGUAAUACAAGAUCUACUCCAUUCAUCUCAAAUAAAUGGUCCGAUAUAACUUAACUGUGUAGGUAAUUAUUAAAAAAUAAUAAUAAUAUUCUAUCAAGAUCAAUACAUCAUAUACUUCGUUGUUAAAAUUAAUCAUUAUUCGUUACACAAUCUUCUGCGUUGCACAAAAUUUGUCUAUGCUUAUAAUUGUCCUUAUAUUUCAAUAAUUUGCUGAAAUAUGUACAAAUAAAAUGAAGCGUUUAGAAGAAAUAAAUGCCAUAGAAGCUUCAAAAAUAAAAACAACACAAACUUAAUCAUCCUAUAUUAUGUGAUUAAAUGUACAAAAAUAUGUAACGGUCUGCGAAUAACUAGUAAUAAUGUUGUGUUUCAUUGCAUCAACAAUAAUUUUGUUUCUUGAAACAUGUUUUGUGCCAUCUGCAGACGGGCAUCUUGUUUUUUUUAUUAAUAUUAAUUUGUACUUAUUAAUCUACAUUUCGGCAAUUUGCUAAUCAAGUGCCGUAAAUAUACUUUGUAAAUAUUUAUACUUAUUACGUUUUUUUUUUUUCAAUAAAGUAUUAUUAUAGUGAUGAAACAGAUUCGUAAAAAUGUUUUCCAAAAACACAAAUAGAAUAUACUUUAUAGUUAAGUGAGAUUGUGCAUAUGUCUGUUUUGAUGUGUGUCUCAGAUUGAUUUGGUAUUAGUAAAUAUGUUCAAAAAUUA